UACAGAGGUCCCAAGCGUUGUUCGGAUUCACUGGGCGUAAAGGGUGCGUAGGUGGUGAGGUAAGUCGGAUGUGAAAGCUCGGAGCUCAACUCCGAAAUGGCAUUGGAAACUACCUUGCUCGAGGGAUGGAGGGGGGACUGGAAUUCUCGGUGUAGCAGUGAAAUGCGUAGAGAUCAUGAGGAAGACCAGUGGCGAAGGCGGGUCUCUGGACAGUUCCUGACACUGAGACACGAAGGCCAGGGGAGCAAACGGG
rnacentral:rRNA from 1 species